GGGAGAAGGAAAAGGUUUUGGGGGGGAGGAAGAAGAAAAAAGGUAACGAAUAAAUAAGUAACCGGGCUCCUGAACGGCAGAGGUUACGGCAGCUUGUCUCUCCCCCUUCCGGGAGCCGCCUUCUUCUCCAACCGUCCCGGCCGCGCUCUCGGCGCUUCUGAAGAGCGAACUCGCCGAAUCACGGCUUUUAUAGAUUCGCUCGUUGGAGUGUGGUUUCAUCGUCAACAAAAGUCUCUCAUUAGUAUCCUCUCCCCGCUGGAAAAUGGUCUGUUCUGCGAGUCGGUAAUAAAGGAGGCGGGGCCGGUCGCGUCCUCCCAAGUGGGUUCUCGGAGGGAGGAGUGUUGGGGGCCGCCCUUGGUCAUGAAUAUGCAGUAAGACGCUGAAUAUGCAUGAAAAUCAAGAUGGCGAGGCCAAUUGCUUGUCCGGAAAUAGCCGAUGUUUGUCGAGCGGCCUCCUGGGGUCUGGCUUGUUUUGUCACGGAAAACCUGAAAAACCUGGACUGGAUUGCUGAUAGAAGAACCAAGUGGCACUCGGAGGUCUUGGAGUUUUGAGGUUUUAUUUUACACCAGCGGUCUGAGAGGGGAGUAUUCUACCAAGGUUUGAGCCCCAAACAGAGGCAA